rnacentral:rRNA from 1 species
CGAGUAAGACUACCCGCUGAACUUAAGCAUAUCAAUAAGCGGAGGAAAAGAAACUAACAAGGAUUCCCCUAGUAACGGCGAGUGAAGAGGGAAGAGCUCAAAUUUUGAAUCUGGCGUCUUUGGCGUCCGAGUUGUAAUCUAGAGAAGUGUUUUCCGUGACGGACCGUGCAUAAGUCUCCUGGAAUGGAGUGUCAUAGAGGGUGAGAAUCCCGUACAUGGCAUGGACUCCCGUUACUCUGCGAUACACUCUCGACGAGUCGAGUUGUUUGGGAAUGCAGCUCCAAAUGGGUGGUAAAUGCCAUCUAAAGCUAAAUAUGGGCGAGAGACCGAUAGCGAACAAGUACCGUGAGGGAAAGAUGAAAAGCACUUUGGAAAGAGAGUGAAACAGUACGUGAAAUUGUUGAAAGGGAAACGCUUGAAGUCAGUCACACUCUUUGGGAUUCAGCCUUGCUUGCUUCUGCUGCUCGGUUUACUUCCCAUCGGGUGGGUCAACAUCAGUUUUAGUCGGAGGAGAAAGACUUGGGGAAGGUAGCAGCAUUCGUGCUGUGUUAUAGACCCUUGUUGUAUACUUCGAUUGGGACUGAGGCCCGCAGCACGCCUUUGGCCGGGGUUUACCCACGUACGUGCUUAGGAUGUUGGCAUAAUGGCUUUAAGCGACCCGUCUUGAAACAC